rfam:Enterobius vermicularis genome assembly, scaffold: EVEC_scaffold0000892
GUCUGAUUGAAGGUACCUAAAACUUACUUGGGAAUGUUAGUUGGUUCAGUAUGUGCGUUAAUGGGUGUACUGACUAUCGCAUUACCGGUCCCUGUUAUUGUUGCAAAC